rnacentral:rRNA from 1 species
UCUGGUGGCGAUAGCGAAGAGGUCACACCCGUUCCCAUACCGAACACGGAAGUUAAGCUCUUUAGCGCCAAUGGUAGUUGGGACUUUGUCCCUGUGAGAGUAGGACGUUGCCAG